CGCGCGGCACACAGCUCAGUAACACGUGGCUAAUCUGCCCUUGGGACGAGAACAACCCCGGGAAACUGGGGCUAACUCUCGAUAGGCGAAGAACACUGGAAUGUGUUUUCACCCAAUAAAUGUAACGUUAUGCUCGUUGCGUCGCCCAAGGAUGAGGCCGCGACCGAUCAGGUUGUUGGUGAGGUAAUGGCUCACCAAGCCUUUAACCGGUGCGGGCCGUGGGAGCGGGAGCCCGGAGAUGGGUACUGAGACAAGGACCCAGGCCCUACGGGGCGCAGCAGUCGCGAAAACUUUGCAAUAAGCGCAAGCUUGACAGGGCUAUCCCGAGUGCCAUCCGCUGAGGAAGGCUUUUACCCAGUCUAGAACGCUGGGGGAAUAAGGAGAGGGCAAGUCUGGUGUCAGCCGCCGCGGUAAUACCAGCUCUCCGAGUGGUGUGGAUGUUUAUUGGGCCUAAAGCAUCCGUAGCUGGCUAGGUUAGUCCCUUGUUAAAUCCACCGAAUUAAUCGUUGGGUUGCGGGGGAUACUGCUUGGCUAGGGGACGAGAGAGGCAGACGGUAUUUUCGGGGUAGGGGUGAAAUCCUAUAAUCCCGGGAAGACCACCAGUGGCGAAGGCUGUCUGCUAGAACGCGCCCGACGGUGAGGGAUGAAAGCUGGGGGAGCGAACCGGAUUAGAUACCCGGGUAGUCCCAGCUGUAAACGAUGCAGGCUAGGUGUUUGGACGGCCACGUGCCGUUCUAGUGCCGCAGGGAAGCUGUUAAGCCUGCCGCCUGGGGAGUACGAUCGCAAGAUUGAAACUUAAAGGAAUUGGCGGGGGAGCACCACAAGGGGUGAAGCUUGCGGUUUAAUUGGAUUCAACGCCGGA
rnacentral:rRNA from 1 species